CUGCGCCAGAAGGGAGAGCUGAUCCAGGAUCUGGGCUGGGAGGAUGGUCCGAAUGGCAGAGAAGGCGGUGCGAAGGCUCCAGAAUGGCGAAGACAGAGUACCGGCACCCGACCCAAAGGUUCCGUGGAACAACAGGAGCAUAUUCCACAAGCGCCUCCGAGGAAGCCGGAGAGACUGAGCCAAUAUUGGUCACGCAGGGUGGAAGAUGGCGACCUGGAAACGAGACCGAUGGUACCUGAACGUGAACCAGCAGGAGACGGCGGAGUUCGGCGAUACACGACGCCCUACGAGAGGCGAGACGAGUGGAGAGAGCCGAGAUGGGGACGCGUCGACAAAUGGGACAUCCAUUUCGACGGCGACCCAGACCCGGCCAAACUGACGGUGGAGGAUUUUGUCUUUCGGGUCGAAUUUCUCCAGAGGCAGAGUCGACGCUCGUGGGACGAAGUCCUUGAUAAUUUUCACCAUCUGGUGAGAGGACGUGCUGCCGAGUGGUACUGGCAGUUUGUAAGAGAGAGGCCUCCAGAAGUCUGGGAGGACUUAAAGGACGAGCUGGUAUCCCGAUUCCGUGCAGUAGGUGGGCAAUACGAGCGGCUGCGUGCGUUGAAUGAGCGACGGCAAGAACCUGGAGAAUCGGUGGAAGAUUACUUUCGAGCGAUGCGGAAGCUAGCUGCAAGACUGAUCACCCCAAUAGCAGAUUCUGAGAUGGUCAGAGUCGUCAAGAAGGGACUCGAGGAGGAGAUCGCUCGUUAUGUGUACGCGAUCCGAGUCCGGAACCUGGAGCAGCUGAGGGAAGAGUGUGUAGAGGUGGAGCACCUUUUCCGCAGACGCGAGCGAAGGUCAGCUUUUCGCCCGACGCUGAAGUUCCAACAAUCCGGUAAGCGAGUGGAGGAGAUCGAGCCAGAGUCGGAGGAGCUGUUGGAAGGAGAGGAAGAGGUGAUGGUUGAGGAAACCCACCUGACAGCGAAGCCGAGGCUGGGCUGCUGGAAUUGCGGAGAAGUUGGCCACGGGUUUCGAGAGUGUAUGGCCAAGGAACGCAGAGUAUUCUGCUAUCUCUGCGGAAGGCCCGAAACGUACACGCCGAAGUGUCCCAANUUCCGCAGACGCGAGCGAAGGUCAGCUUUUCGCCCGACGCUGAAGUUCCAACAAUCCGGUAAGCGAGUGGAGGAGAUCGAGCCAGAGUCGGAGGAGCUGUUGGAAGGAGAGGAAGAGGUGAUGGUUGAGGAAACCCACCUGACAGCGAAGCCGAGGCUGGGCUGCUGGAAUUGCGGAGAAGUUGGCCACGGGUUUCGAGAGUGUAUGGCCAAGGAACGCAGAGUAUUCUGCUAUCUCUGCGGAAAGCCCGAAACGUACACGCCGAAGUGUCCCAACUGCUCGGGAAACUCAAGAACGGGCAUGAUGAAGGCGGGAUAUCAGAGCUCGGGACGGAAGCCCGCGAGGAAGUGAAGGAAGCGCUAUUGGAGGUUGUAAAAAUUAAGCAUAUUAACCCAAGUAGUAUAGAAAAAAAUAGUUUAAAAUUCUUACCGGUCGAAGAGAGGA
rnacentral:lncRNA from 1 species